rnacentral:rRNA from 3 species
UUAAGUAGACCGCCUGGGGAGUACGGCCGCAAGGUUAAAACUCAAAUGAAUUGACGGGGGCCCGCACAAGCGGUGGAGCAUGUGGUUUAAUUCGAUGCAACGCGAAGAACCUUACCUGGUCUUGACAUCCACAGAAGUUUGCAGAGAUGCGAAUGUGCCUUCGGGAACUGUGAGACAGGUGCUGCAUGGCUGUCGUCAGCUCGUGUUGUGAAAUGUUGGGUUAAGUCCCGCAACGAGCGCAACCCUUAUCCUUUGUUGCCAGCGAUUAGGUCGGGAACUCAAAGGAGACUGCCAGUGAUAAACUGGAGGAAGGUGGGGAUGACGUCAAGUCAUCAUGGCCCUUACGACCAGGGCUACACACGUGCUACAAUGGCGCAUACAAAGAGAAGCGACCUCGCGAGAGCAAGCGGACCUCAUAAAGUGCGUCGUAGUCCGGAUUGGAGUCUGCAACUCGACUCCAUGAAGUCGGAAUCGCUAGUAAUCGUGGAUCAGAAUGCCACGGUGAAUACGUUCCCGGGCCUUGUACACACCGCCCGUCACACCAUGG